CAAAGUAUAGCUUAACUAAAGCAUCUCGCUUACACCGAAAAAAUAUCUGUGCGACUCAGAUUACUUUGA
rnacentral:tRNA from 1 species